rnacentral:lncRNA from 1 species
AUUCUAAGAAAACAAAGACAAUAUUGAAUUACAAAUAUACCUUCGACUUGAUAGAAGACAAAAGGUACAAGCGUGACGCAAAAGCAAGUACCAGUUAGCGUGAACAGUACGGGGGUACUGUUCAUCUAUUUAUAGGCACAGGACGCAGUCUGUGAGAAAUUACAUACAUGCCCCUUACAUUUAUUAUUGACUUAUAUACAAUUCUAUGAGGACUAGAUAGCCUUUUCCCCUUUAAGUCGGUUCCUUUUUCCGCCAUUUAGCCGAAGCUCCCUUACGUGUAGCUUCGGAGCAACUCCAACCUUCGUCACGAUCAUGCUUUUUACACCGUACAUGCUUUUAGCUCGAGUCCGAAGGUACCUGUUCAUAUGUCACACUUGGAAGAUAUUGUUAAAUCACGUUUUUGAGGACCUUCGGAGGACAAAGGCCCCCAACACUAUAAAAUACAAAACAAAAUUUAUAAAAAUGUAAACUCCAGCCAUACUGGUAAAAUUAAAAUCUACCUUUAAUUGAGUACAAAAUUCACAUGUAAAUUUGGAGUUUAAAUUGGAAAUUUAAAAUAAAAGGAGAAAGAAAAAACUAGAAAAAUAUAUAAGAUAAAUCCACGCGUGGGCCGUUGACCCCAAAUCUGGCCCACCUAGCAAAUUACUACCGUGCGGCCCGACUCCUCAUCUUAAGCGCGCCGACAGUUGGGCCCCGUGGGCAGCCGCUCCACACGCGCGACUAGCGUCGGGAUCUGUUAGGUGGGACCCACUCACCAGCCGCACUAAUCCGAUGGCCCGCUCUGGAUUGCUCACUGCCCUGUGGGACCAAGCCGUCAGAUCCAUCACGCCCACGCCAACAGAACUCGCGCCGCGUCCUCUGUAAUCUCCGGUGAACUCGCCCCAUGCCCAGGUUUCUUGGCUGUUCGUGCCGUUAGCCUAUAAGACCUGACCCCACGAACCCCUGCGUCCAUUGCUCCCCUUUAAUCUAGCAACCGUGGCGAGAAAUAGGAGGCUUAGGCUUGGACUGCGGCCAGAAAUCAUCCGCCAGCGCCAUUGUCUUCUUCGCCUAAAGACCGGGCACAUAGGUCGUGUCCGGGAGCUUUUAGGGUGUCUGGUGAAGAUUUUGUGGCCGUACGGGGAGAUGGCGACCACGGUGGUGUCCGGAAUUUGUCGCCGGACUUCUGUUUCCGCCGUGUGCCGUGGGAAGCCUAGGUCACCUCUUCGAAUCUCGGUGAGUAGCAUCCUCCGCAAUACCAUACUAUUACCGCUUCGUACUUCUACUUUCGGAUUAGAGUUUAGGGUGGGCAAUCGGGUCGGUGCGAUCGCCAGCCAUGGCGCCACCGUCGAUGCGGAGUCGCCGCCAUGUCACCGCGUCGAGGAAGGGUUGAGGGUUAUCGUGACCGUUAGAUCUGCAUUUGAAGGCCAGGAUUAGAAGAUCUUACCCCUUCAUUUGAGUGACUCACGUAGUCGUAGAUCAUUGAUCCUUCGGCGCAGAUCACAUCCUACUGCAUUAAAUCGCGACCGUCGAUCGUUAAUCGUAUGGGCGCGCUCGCACACCAGUUUACCGCGGUCGGGAUCUAAUCCGGACCCUUGAAUCUGGAUCGAACGACACUGAAUGACUAAUACCCCUUCGGCCGCGUUUUAUUGCGAAUGAGCCCCUCGGUUCCUAGGGAAUCAACCCGUCGUCCACCCUAGGGUUGCUCUGAGUCUAGGAAAUUCUUAUGAUUUUGCCCCCAUGUUUCCUUAGAUUUAGUGCUCGGCCCAGAGAAGAGAGAAACUGGAUAAAUGAAUAUAGAAAUUGAUUUUUAAUAAAAAAUAAUUUUAGAAACUUGUUUAAUUCAUAGAAAAUUCAUAUUAAGUCCAAAUUGAUCCAUUCCAGUUUCUAUAAUUUUGUAUUAUUAUUGUUUAUCAACUAGUGCAACUGUUUUAACAUAAAAGCCACAUUAAAAUUGAUAUCGUAAUUAAUCUUGUACCAAACGCAUAAAACCUUUGGAAAUUCAUAACUUAAAAUCCAUAUUUCCAAAAUUAAUGAUUCAUGUUCAUAUAAUCUUAUUUUAAUAUGUAGAUUAUUAAUAUGUAUUUUAUAUACAUGUUUGGUGUGAUGUUAAUUUAUCCUUUGUACUAUGCUUGUUUAUAUUGUGGCGAGUAGAAGAGCCAGUGGCUGAGGAUCCCGGUGUUCAGUAGGUAGAAGUUGCUGAGCAGGAGCUCAUUGAAGGCAAGUUGUGCCCUUGACCACUUUUAUUACCUAAUAAUGUUCUUUAUUAUCACUUAUCCAUGCAUAGGUUUAAUUUUGAUGGGACCCAAUAGGUCACCUAGACUGGUUAUCCUUUCACCUUGUUCAUCCCUGAAUCAUUUGGGUAGUUUUGCUAUUGCUUUAUAUGGUUUUGGGUUAAUAUUACAUUAUAUCCUUGUUCCAAUUAUUCUGUUAUUUUAUUUAUGUUCAUGUCAAGAUCAUUAUUUUUAAUAGGAACAUGGAUCUUAACUUGAGAAGCACGUGCCACCACAAGGGUGGAAUGGGACGCCCUUGGCUGACUAACUAGGAAAGCUAGUGGAGGACUACCUUACCCGAUAGGGGCAAGGGCAGUAGGGGAGUAGGCAUGUAGGGAGGUUCCCAGGUUGAUUUUGCUGUGAUGGCGGUCAGACAAGGGAUUCCUGCAUUGCUCUUCCUAGAAACUGUUGCGGGUUUUCUGAAGCUAGUGGAACUAGGUAAAGGCCUUGUAGUGUUACCCUGCCUCGCUUCCUUAGUAGAGGUGUAUGGGGCCCAUACAACCCCGUGGCAGAUGGGUAACAUGACUUGUGGGUACAGGGUACAACCUUUGCAGAGUGUAAAACUGGUAUACUAGUCGUGCUCGUGGUCAUGAGCAGCUCAUGACUCUCGCAUGAUUAAACCAUGGAACUAAAUUCAAUUUGUCAUUUGCAUUGCAUGGGAUUAUUUAUUAAUUUUAUUCUAUUCUUAUUAUGGUUUGGUUUCCACUUACAUUUAGUAACUGCUAAUAAAAUUUGACCAACUUAUUAAAAGCAAUGCUCAACUUUAAUCCCUAUUGUUGAUCAGCUUUACACUUCACAUGAACUUCCACCUUUGGUGAGUUCUGAACAUUAUUCCCCAUGACUUGUUGAGCUAUGAUCUUUUGUGAGCUCACACUUGCGAUAUAUAAACCCCCCCACAGGAGAAGAACAGGUGGCCCAGGAGGAGCCGCACAACAAGGAGUUCGACUUGAUCUAGGUGGCGUCUCCUAGUCGACUUUAUGGCGCCAAGGAUGGACUUUAGGUUGCUUUAUAUUUAUCUUUUUAUUUUGUAAGACUUCCGCUAUAUAAUAAAUACUUUUAUGAUAUUGUGACAUUUAUCUCUAUACACUCUGUUAUUAUAUGUGUUGUCUUCUUUGGCGCAUAUAUGAGAUGCACUCGGCUUUAUCCCUUAAAUCCGGGUGUGACAUAAGUGGUAUCAGAGGAAAUGUUGACUGUAGGACGAAACCUAGAUAGAAAUGGACAAAACCCUUACCUACUUACCUUACUCUAAUUCUUUCUAUACUUAUCUUGAUCCUGUCUCACCUUUUGUUGUUCUACUCUGAUUACUCUUAUCUUUUCUACUCUAAGACAAGAUGGAUUUCACACCUUGGAAUCCUACAUUUAUGAUCUUUUUAAGAGAUAGGAGACAUAAAACAAAAUUGAAACUAUUUUAUCUAUUUUAAAAUGUUGGUUGACUGUGCUGAUGAUAAAUGUCUGAUUUGCUUCUUUGGUUGAUUGAAACAUUAUAGUUGGGCAUCUUAGCAUGUAUCACCGUAAGGUAAUGUGGUAGCUUUAGUAGGUGACACACUAAACUACUUAGCUAAUAAAACCCCCAAAGUAACAUGUUUCAUAAUUACUCACCUUGUCUAGAAUUCUUUCUUACCAUAUGUUUCUAACUCAGAUGGUCAAUACCAGGAAGGGUGGUGGAAUUGAUCUACCCCCAAUCGACACAAUUGGAGGGUACUCAGACAGCAACAACAACAAGCCGAGAUGAAUCCUCCAAAUUUUUUAAAUCCUCCACCAGCCGGAGCUGAUCCAGCAAUGCAGCCCAGAUGUGGAUAAUGCAACAAAUGGCUGAUACUAUGACGCAUAUGCACGCGCAGAUGUGACAGGAGCGUCAGGAGAUGCGCCAAGAGAGAGAGGAGAUGCGCCAGGAGCGAAGGGUGCAACAGCAGCAAGCACCAUUGCCACCACCACCACCACUAGUUCCACCCCGAGACAAGCACCGGGAGUUCAUGAGCCACAAGCCACCAACGUUCGCCAGCUCUCCAGAUCCUCUACACGUUGAUAAUUGGCUGAAGUCUACAGAGAAGAUGUUGAUUAUUGCACAGUGCUCCGACCGGGAGAGGUUCUAUAUGCUUCGGUCGUCUUACUGGUCCUGCUACUGUUUGGUGGGAUUCCUACACUACUACCCACGAUGCUGCUGAUACUAUCACAUGGGCGGAGUUUGCUACUCAGUUCAGGAACUACCACAUACCUGCUGGACUGAUGAAGAUCAAGAAGAAGGAAUUUUUGUCGCUGAAGCAGGGGAGCAUGUCAGUCAGCGAGUACCGCGAUAGAUUCAUUCAGAUAUCCAGAUAUGCACCGGAUGAAGUGGCUGAAGAUGAGAGAAAGCAAGAACACUUUAUCGAAUGACUCAAUGAACCUUUGCAGUAUGCUUUAGUAGCUCACACCUUUCCAUCAUUUCAGAGGCUGCUCGACAAGGCCCUAGCCAUUGAACACAAGCAUGUUCAGCUAGGGGAUAUGAAGAGGAAGGCGAUAUCCCAAGGAUAGGGGAGCUACGACGUUCGUCCUCGCUAUGUUCAACCCCAGGGUACACCAAUCCGCACUGGAGGAGGCCAGCGUCCAGCUCAGUACACACCACAUGGGACUCCACCGACUCGUCAGGCUGCCCCCACUGGCACCUCGGCGAAAUUCUCAGGACAGAGUGCUGGUACCACAUGCUACAAGUGUGGUAAGAUAGGGCAUUAUGCUAAUGUUUGUCCGCAGAGGAUUGCUACUACACCCGUGCAGAACAAGCAGCAAACUCCAGGAUCUCGCAAGGGAUUCUCUAUUGCCAGGGUUAAUCAAGUGAGUACUGAUGCUGCCGCUGAAGGAACUGACAUCGCUAUUGGUAUGUUUUAUAUUAAUGCAAUUCCUACAACAAUAUGAUUUGAUUCUGGUGCUACACAUUCAUUAUGUCUGCUCGAUAUGCCAACACAAAUGAGUUACCACUGCAAAAUAUGAAAGCACCCAUGGUAGUAAUUACACCAAAAGGGCCUGUUGAGGCAAAUUAUAUGACACAUAGAUUGACAUUGACAUUUAUGGGAAGAGAAUUCUGGGCUACCCCUAUAGUAUUAGAGGAAACCAGUAUAGAUCUGAUCCUUGGUAUGUCAUGGUUAAGAAAGGCAAAGGUCGUUAUACAUUGUGCUAGGGGUACUAUAGAACUCACCAGCUCUAAAGGAGAAAUAUUUGAAGUUCAAAUUACAGUAACUACCUCUAUCAGACCUGUUGUAUUCUUAGUAGAUGGGAAGUUUGUUGGUGACAACAUUCGUGUGGUUAGGGAUUUCCCCGAUGUCUUUCCAGAGGAGUUACCCGGGAUGCCACCAGAUAGGGAAGUUGAGUUUGUCAUGGAUCUCUUACCUGGGACUGCUCCUAUUUCUAAACAGCCAUACAAGAUGUCUGUAGAAGAGUUAAAAGAACUUAAGAAGCAGUUAACAGAGCUACAGGAGGCUAGGUACAUUCGACUGAGUUCCUCACCUUGGGGAGCGCCGAUUCUGUUUGUACAGAAGAAGGAUGGAUCACAGCGGAUGUGUGUGGAUUAUAGAUCCCUUAAUGAUGUUACUGUGAAGAACAAGUAUCUGUUACCCCGCAUUGAGGAUUUAUUUGAUCAAAUGAGAGGUGCAAGGGUAUUCUCGAAGAUUGAUCUUCGAUCGGGUUAUCACCAAAUGAAGAUUAGGCCAUCUGAUAUUCCCAAGACGACUUUCUCAACCUGAUAUGGUUUAUAUGAAUUCACAGUUAUGUCAUUUGGACUAACUAAUGCACCAGCAUAUUUUAUGAAUUUGAUGAAUAAGGUGUUCAUGGAGUAUCUUGACAGAUUCGUCGUAGUAUUCAUCGACGAUAUUCUUAUUUAUUCCAAGAGUGAUAGUGAUCAUGAGGAACAUCUGCGAUUGGUGCUACAAAAGCUACGGGAUAAUCAACUCUAUGCCAAGUUCAGCAAAUGCGAGUUCUGGAUUGACAAAGUACCAUUCCUUGACAUAUUAUUUCUAAUGGUGGGAUAUCAAUGGAUCCUGCUAAAGUCAAGGAGAUAGUGGACUGGAGCAUACCCAGUACAAUUACUGAAGUCCGGAGUUUCUUGGGACUUGCAAGCUAUUAUCGGCGAUUUAUUGAAGGGUUCUCUAAGAUUGCUAAGUCUAUGACCUCACUUCUAGAGAAGGGGAGAGAGUUUAAGUGGGACUAGAAGUGUCAAGAUAGCUUUAAUCAACUGAAGUUGAGAUUAAUGUCACCCUCAGUGUUGGUUAUGUCAGAUCUACAGAAGGGAUUUGAUAUAUAUUGUGAUGCGUGCGACCAAGGCUUGGGAUGUGUUCUUAUGCAAUAAGGCCAUGUGAUUGCCUACGCGUCUCGUCAGUUGCGGAAACAUGAGUUGAACUAUCCUACUCAUGACUUAGAACUGGCAGCCGUAGUGCUUGCGCUCAAAAUAUGAAGACAUUAUAUUAUGGGAACCAAGUGCCAAGUGUACACCAAUCACAAGAGUUUGAAGUAUGUAUUUGUCGGCGUUUCGAGACCGGGGGGUCCCUAAGCCGACGAGUGAGUGUGCCGCGUGCCCCAACCCAGAUGGGUCGAGCGCGUGGGCGAGCGCGAAGGGGGGAAAGCGAGGUGGCCGGAGACGGGCGUGAGAGAGGUGGAAAUCCCGCGGCCUUCGUGUUUGUCCCGCGCCCAGGUCGGGUGCGCUUGCAGUAGGGGGUUACAAGCGUCCACGCGGGUGAGGGAAGCGAGCGGCCCCAAGAGAGCGCCUGUCCCGUCCUCGUCCCCGCGCGGCCAACCUUCUCUAAGAAGGCCCUGGUCCUUCCUUUUAUAGGCGUAAGGAGAGGAUCCAGGUGUACAAUGGGGAUGUAGCAGAGUGCUACGUGUCUAGCGGAGGGAGAGCUAGCGCCCUAAGUACAUGCCAAUGUGGCAGCCGGAGAGAUCUUGGCACCCUGCUGGUGUGAUGUCGUGGCUGUCGGAGGAGCAACGGAGCCUGGCGGAGGGACAGCUGUUGGAGCGGUUGAGUCCUUGCUGACGUCCCCCUGCUUCUGUAAGGGAGCUGAGAGCCGCCGUCGUCACAGGGCUAGCGGGGCGCCAUCAUUGCCUAUCUGGCGGAGCUAGCCAGAUGGGACACCGGUCUUGUUCUCUGCGGCCCAAGUCGGCUCGGGGUAGGGUGAUGAUGGCGCUUCCUGUUGACGUGGCGGGCCUGUGCCCUAGGUCGGGCGACGUGGAGGCUCCUCCGAAGCCGAGGUCGAGUCUGUCUUCCAUGGCCGAGGACGAGCCUGAGCUCCUGGGUCGGGCGAGGCGGAGGUUGUUCGGCAGAGGCUAGGGCGGAGUCCGAGCCCUGGGGUCGGGCGAAGCGGAGUUCGUCGUCUUCUGGGGCUGAGCCCGAGUCCGAGCCCUGGGUCGGGCGGAGCGGAGUUCGCCGUCUUCCGGGGCUUAGCCCGAGUCCGAGCCCUGGGUCGGGCGGAGCGGAGUUCGUCGUCUUUUGGGGCUGAGCCCGAGUCCGAGCCCUGGGUCGGGCGGAGUGGAGUUCGCCGUCUUCCGGGGCUUAGCCCGAGUCCGAGCCCUGGGUCGGGCGGAGCGGAGUUUCCUAUGGCGCCUUUGGCCAGGCCUGACUGCCUGUCAGUCUCACUCUGUCAAGUGGCGCUGCAGUCGGAGUGGCGCAGGCGGCGCUGUCCUUCUGUCAGACCGGUCAGUGGAGCGGCGAAGUGACGGCGGUCACUUCGGCUCUGCCGGGGGGCGCGCGUCAGGAUAAAGGUGUCAGGCCACCUUUGCGUUAAAUGCUCCUGUGACUCGGUCGGUCGGUGCGGCGAUUUAGUCAGGGUUGCUUCUCAGCGAAGGCAAGGCCUCGGGCGAGCCGGAGAUGUGUCCGCCGUUAAAGGGGGGCCUCGGGCGAGACAGAAAUCCCUCGGGGUCGGCUGCCCUUGUCCGAGGCUAGGCUCGGGCGAGGCGUGAUCGAGUCGCUCGUAUGGACUGAUCCCUGACUUAAUCGCACCCAUCAGGCCUCUAUAGCUUUAUGCUGAUGGGGGUUACCAGCUGAGAAUUAGGCGUCUUGAGGGUACCCCUAAUUAUGGUCCCCGACUGUAGCCCUCGAGCCUCGAAGGGAGUGUUAGCACUCGCUUGGAGGCUUUUGUCGCACUUUUUUGCAAGGGGACCAGCCUUUCUCGGUUGCAUUUUGUUCCGGUGGGUGCGCGCGAGCGCACCCGCCGGGUGUAGCCCCCGAGGCCUCGGAGGAGUGGUUUCACUCCCCCGAGGUCUUAAUGCCUUGCGUAAUGCUUUGGCUGGUCUGGUUGUUCCCUCAUGCGAACUGGCCGUAGCCCGGGUGCACGGUCGGGGCCCAAGCUCUCGGGCUGGUAUGUUGACGCUGUCAACGGUUCGGCCGGAGCCGGUUUUGCGAGAGCAGCCCCCGAGCCUCCGCACAGGGCGAGAGGACGAUCAGGGACAAACUCGGCUUUUUUACAUACGCCCCUACGUCGCCUUUCCGCAAGGAGGAGGGGGGGAGAGCGCCAUGUUACCCUCGAUGGGCACCGAACAUGGUGUCUCCGGUGAGCUGCAAGCGGGUAAUCCGAGUGGACGUCCGUGCCCCGUUCGUUGGGGGUCGGCUAGGGGCCCAGAGGCACGCCCAAAAGUACCUGCGGGUGAUUUGCCGGACCCGGUCCCCUGGCGACGGGGUCCGAGGGCUCGAUGCCUCCCUCUGAUGGGAUUCCGUUACAAGAUCGCUCCCGCUGGUCUCGGAAAUGUCCUAGGGUACCUCGGGAGCGCAGCCCGAGCCUUGGUUAUGUAUCGAACGUACCCCUGGUCAUCCCUCGCUCGGCGUCUGAGGCGACUGUGAACCCUUCGGGGGCCAGCCUUCGAACCCCUGAUAAGUAAUGGGCGCGGAGCCUGAGUAGCCUGAGGCGGCCGUGGAGCCCUUCGGGGGGCCGGCCUUCGAACCUCUGACCAGUAGUGGGUGUAGGGCCCACGCGAUCUGAGGCGACUGUUGAACCCCUCGGAGGGCCAGUCUUCGAACCUCUGAUCAGUAGGGGGGGCUCGGAGCCCGGUUCCUUCACAGGGAAGGAUCCUUUUCGGGGUAUCCCCUUUCCCGGUCCCUGUUGCAAGAGAUAGAGAAAGAGGAAAAAAGGAUACGAAUUCGAACGACGUGGCGUACCUUUUUUGACGCGGUUAUUACGGCGAAGGCGAAGCGUCGCCCGCUUCUCUUGCCAGAAGCGUCGCCUGUCCCGCCGCGGAGUUAAUGCGAUGGGGUGAGUGGUUGGCGGGGCGGCCGUUGCGCGUGCGCGAGCCGUUCGAGGGAUGGAUCACGGGCGCGCCGUCUUCACGCCGUGAGAGGAGGCUCUCUUGCUGCUCCUGGAUGGGACGUGAGCCUGGCUGACGACGUGACCGCUGCUCCCGCCCGCCUGCCACCGUCAUUACUGCCGGCCCGCUUUCGGCCGCAUUGACCGUCGCGCCAGGCUGGCGCUACUGGGUCGUGCGCUGGGCCGCCUCGAGUCGCGGUAUUGGUUCCACAACCAAAGAGGCGCGGUGGUGGCGCAAGUGGCGGUGCGGUUGCUUGCAUGCAGCAUCUGGCGCGCCGGUUGCGUGACGCGUGGGCCUGGGCCUCCAUGCUGGCGUGUUGGGAGUCGGAGAAGCGCGUCCACCUGGCGCGGUUGCAUGCCGCCUGCAUGGCUGCCCGCCCCUUCCGCCCGUUGGUCUGGGCAGAAGUGGGGGGUCGCUUGUAACUGCCGGGCGGUUGUGUGCGCCGCGCGCGGCGGUUUGGCUUCUUCUGCUCUGAGCCGGUUCGCAUGACAUGCGGGACCCAGCCCCCGCGCCGCAGGGGAGGGCCUUGGAGCGUGUUGGAGAAGACUCAGCCCGUGACGUUUGGGGGCGCACGUAGGGAGAGUUGCCUUUAAAAGGGGGACGACCCCUUUCGGAAGGCGACCAUGUCUUCUUCCUCCCGUAUGCGUCGCGUCUUUCCAUCUUCCAAGCCCCCGGAUGGGGGGUAUCCGCCGUCUUUUCGCCUCAUCGUUGGAGGAACGCAACUCCGCAGGAGUUGGUACCUUUCAGCCAUCGUUCGGCUUCAAGGAUUUUCAUCAUGCAGCCCGGCUGUAUCCCCCCGCCGGUGGUCACCCAAGACGGUGACCACCAGUUCCUGGGUGGGGAGAAGCAAGUCGGGCUACGAUCUUGGUCCCACCCUCAGCUUCAAGGAUGUUCAUCAUCCUCGCUGGGGUGGGGGCCGGGCUGAGCCGGCGCUCUACCUCCCGCGCGGGUCCGUGGAUUUCCCUCUCCCGCGGCGUUCGGGGGAGAGGGCGCUCACUGGCCCUGCGGGCGGCCCGGACUUCGACAACGCGGGGCCGGUCGACGGCGGGCAUCGUCACCUCCAGCGUGUCGGGCUCGUCGGCUUGGCUCCCGGCGGCCCCUCCCGCCGGAGGGCGGCUGCCGCGCCGUGUGCACGGGAGGGCCACCCAAGAUGUCGCGCGCCGCUAGGGCGGCAUUCGUGUUCUGGGGUGGUCCUGCCUUUGCACCGGGAUGGCGCCCUCGUGCGGAGGCCGGUGCCCCACUCGCCCGGGAGGAUUUGAGUGGGGAUCUGCCGGGGGGCUGAUGGCCCCUGCCGUCGGUGUCGAGGCGGAGGCGGCUCGAGAAGUCCCCGUCACCGACGGGGUCACCGCCACCAUUCGCGCUUCGGGCCUCCGGUUCUUUGUACUUGUCCUCGCCCCUCGAGCGUCGGUGUGGGCGAGGGCAAGAUUGCAGCAGCGCCCACCCUGAGGCCUGCGCUGCUGCAGCUCGACCAUCCGGAGCGGGGGUCGUUGUCGUCGUAGUCAGAGCGGGCGGCGGCGAGCCGCUCGUCAGUCUUCUGUUGCUCCGCAGGCCUUCCCCCAUGGAGUGGGGUUGUUCGUACCUGCGGAGGGGGAACCGGAGUUCCGUUUGUAAUGGCACUUUGAAUGCUAGUGUCUUUGUUCAUCGUGGCUGUCGAGGCCUGAACAUGUAUGUAAUCUUGGCGCGGAGCCGUGUUUUUUCCUCAUUUUUGAGCACUAAGUCUCGCCUGUUGAUUAUCUGAACCGCUUCACCAAGCAUGAGUCGCCCCGUGUCAAGGUGACGAGUGAGGUAUCCGUAUCCCGGAGGCGUAGGAGUCCCUCGGCUCGAUCGGCCUUGUUGUCUGAGGCUCCUCUAGCUUAGUUAAAGAGACCCCUUGGCCGCUCUUUGAUGAGCCGAGGCCAGGGGUAGCGAUAUCAGAACGAACAGAGGCAGAGUUGGCUCGAAAAUGGGAACCUGGUUGGCCGGAGCCUAGCCGGGUUGUCCGUCAGCGGGACCGACGCCGGAGUUGAUCAGCCGAGGCCUCGGACCGGGCUGGCGCCCUUGGAAGAUGGUUGGCCGAGGCCCCUGGGGUAACCGGCCGAGCCGCCUGCUCGGGCCGGAUUCCCGGAGAAGUUCCUGGACCGCGUCGUCGUCCGAGGCUGGGUCGGACCUCGCCGAAGGUGUCGUCGAUGCCGAGGGUGCUACAGCCCCCUUCCAGCGUGAAGACCCGAGCCUGUAGGACCAGAUUGUCUUGUAGCAUGUGCCUUCUGCGGCCGCCGAGGCCAGAAAACACACCCUCGCUACGUUGUAAAGUUGCGUCUCCUUUCCUCUUAUUUCGAGCAUCUGAACUUUUUGUCGGUAACAGGGAUGUUUGUGCGAGCGAGAGUUGCUUCUCGCGGAAGGUGAUGAGUGAGGUAUCCGUAUCCCGGAGGCGUGGGAGUCCCUCGGCUCGGUCGGCCUUGCCGCUUACGCGUACUUUCACCCGUCCAUGAGGCCCUGUCACCGAUUCAGUCGAGAAGGCUCGAAGGACCGCUUCGGCAGAAGAGCUUCCGAACGUAAAGACUUGUUCGGUCCGUGGAAUCACUUUAUCGGAACGCGAGUUACUUAUCGCAGAAGGUGAUGAGUGAGGUAUCCGUAUCCCGGAGGUGUAGGAGUCCCUCGGCUCGGUCAGCCUUGGCUGCUUACGUGUACUCCGUCGUUUCCAGGAUCCACUUUUCGAAGUAGUCAAAAAGCACGAAAGAUAUUCUGCUAAAAGAGAUCUUUUUUUCGAGAAAAUUUUGACGCAGAGGGGGUCUCCCCCCUUUUAGCCCCCGAGGGAGGGUCGGGCUUUGCCGAGGAGAGGCCGACCCUUCCUUGAUGACCAAACUUUGCGUGGGUGCGAGGUAUAUGAACAACUUGCAAACAUCUUAAGGGUAGAAGCGACGUAGCUGUUUGAUGUUCCAAGCGUUGCCGUAGAUCUCGCCUUGAUUGUUGGCCAGCUUGUAUGUUCCGGGCUUCAGAACUUUGGCGAUGACGAAUGGCCCCUCCCAGGGGGGCGUGAGCUUGUGCCUCCCUCGGGCGUCUUGCCGCAGCCGAAGCACCAGGUCGCCCACCUGGAGGUCUCGGGGCCGGACCCCUCGGGCGUGGUGGCGUCGCAGGGACUGCUGGUACUGCGCCGAGUGUAGUAAGGCCUUGUCCCGAGCCUCUUCCGGCUGGUCCAGCGACUCUUCUCGGCUAGCUUGGUUGCUUUGAUCGUUGUAGGCCCUCGUCCUCGGGGAGCCGUAUUCCAGGUCAGUGGGCAAGAUGGCCUCGGCCCCGUAGACCAGGAAGAACGGCAUGAAACCCGUGGCUCGGCUUGGCGUUGUCCUCAGGCUCCAGAUCACCGAGGGGAGUUCCUUCAUCCAUCGCUUGCCGAACUUGUUGAGGUCGUUGUAAAUCCGGGGCUUGAGCCCUUGUAGAAUCAUGCCGUUGGCACGCUCUACUUGCCCAUUCGACAUGGGAUGAGCCACGGCGGCUCAGUCCACCCGGAUGUGGUGAUCCUCGCAAAAAUCCAAGAAUUUUCUACCGGUGAACUGGGUACCGUUGUCGGUGAUGAUGGAGUUUGGGACCCCGAAGCGAUGGAUGAUGUUGGUGAAGAACGCCACCAUCUGCUCGGACCUGAUGCUGUUCAGGGGUCGGACCUCGAUCCACUUGGAGAAUUUGUCGAUGGCGACCAGCAGGUGCGUGUAGCCCCCGGGCGCCUUCUGCAAGGGACCGACGAGGUCCAGACCCCAUACAGCAAAGGGCCAGGUGAUGGGUAUCGUCUGCAGAGCCUGAGCGGGCAGGUGGGUCUGCUUCGCAUAGAAUUGGCACCCUUCGCAGGUGCGGACAAUUCUAGUGGCGUCAGCCACCGCCGUUGGCCAGUAGAAGCCUUGCCGGAAAGCAUUCCCGACAAGUGCUCGAGGCGCUGCAUGAUGGCCGCAAGCCCCCGAGUGUAUUUCUUGCAGGAGUUCCUGACCUUCGGCGAUGGAGAUGCAUCGCUGGAGGAUGCCCGAGGGGCUGCGGUGGUAGAGCUCCUCCUCAUCGCCCAGCAAGACGAACGACUUGGCGCGUCGCGCUACCCGCCGAGCCUCGGCUUGGUCGAGGGGUAGCUCUCCUUGACGGAGAUAUUGCAGGUACGGGGUCUGCCAAUUUCGAUCAGGCGUGGCCCCGCUCUGCUCCUCCUCGACGUGCAGUGCCUCGCCCUCGGGGGCCGAGGGUACCUCGGGCUGAACCGAGGACGCCUCGGGCUGAGCCGAGGGUACCUCGGGCUGGUCCGAGGGUGCCUCGGGCUCGGGCAUGUCGUUGAUCUUGACGGAGGGUUGAUGCAGAUCCCAAGAGAAGACGUCCGGGGGAACCGUUGUUCGCCCCGAGGCUAUUUUAGCCAGCUCGUCCGCAGUCUCGUUGUAGCGCCGAGCGAUGUGGUUAAGCUCGAGCCCGUAGAACUUGUCUUCCAGGCGCCGAACCUCAUCACAGUAGGCCUCCAUCUUCGGGUCGCGGCAGUGGGAGUUCUUCAUGACUUGGUCGAUGACGAGCUGCGAGUCACCGCGGGCGUCGAGGCGUCUGACCCCUAGCUCGAUGGCGAUCCGCAACCCGUUGACCAGAGCCUCGUACUCAGCCACAUUGUUGGACGCCGGGAAAUGGAGGCGUAGCACGUAGCGUAGGUGUUUCCCGAGGGGCGAGACGAAGAGCAGGCCCGCGCCGGCUCCCGUCUUCAUCAGCGACCCGUCGAAAAACAUGGUCCAGAGCUCCGGUUGGAUCGGAGCCGUCGGCAGCUGGGUGUCGACCCAUUCGGCUACGAAGUCCGCCAACACCUGGGACUUGAUGGCCUUCCGAGGGGCGAACGAGAUUGUUUCGCCCAUGAUUUCCACCGCCCACUUUGCGGUCCUGCCCGAGGCCUCUCGGCACUAGAUGAUCUCCCCCAGGGGGAAGGAUGACACCACAGUUACCGGAUGAGACUCGAAGUAAUGCUGCAACUUUCGCCUCGUCAGGAUCACUGCAUACAGCAGCUUCUGAACUUGUGGGUAGCGGAUCUUGGUCUCGGACAGUACCUCGCUGACGAAGUAGACUGGCCUCUGAACGGGCAAUGCAUGCCCUUCUUCUUGCCUCUCGACCACAAUCGCGGCGCUAACCACCUGAGUGGUCGCGGCGACGUAAACCAAGAGGGCUUCUCCAUCAGCUGGGGGCACCAAGAUAGGCGCCUUUGUAAGGAGCGCCUUCAGGUUCCCGAGAGCUUCCUCGGCCUCAGGGGUCCAAGCGAAACACUCGGUCUUCCUUAAGAGGCGGUACAGAGGCAGACCUCUUUCGCCGAGGCGUGAGAUGAAGCGGCUCAGGGCCGCGAGACAUCCCAUGACCCUCUGUACGCCUUUUAAGUCCUUGAUGGGCCCCAUGCUGGUGAUAGCUGCGAUCUUCUCCGGGUUGGCUUCGAUGCCUCGCUCGGAGACGAUGAACCCCAAGAGCAUGCCCCGGGGCACCCCGAAGACACACUUCUCGGGAUUGAGCUUGACGCCUUUCACUUUGAGACAUCAGAAUGUCACUUCAAGGUCGGAAGCCUUCCUUGUCUUGACUACGAUGUCGUCGACGUAGGCCUCGACCGUGCGACCGAUGUGUUCGCCGAACACAUGGUUCAUGCACCGCUGGUACGUCGCGCCCGCAUUCCUCAAACCGAACGGCAUGGUGACGUAGCAGUACAUGCCGAAGGGCGUGAUGAAAGAAGUCACGAGCUGGUCGGACUCUUUCAUCCGGAUUUGGUGAUACCCUGAGUAGGCAUCGAGGAAGGACAGGGUUUCGCACCCAGCAGUGGAAUCCACGAUUUGAUCGAUGCGAGGUAGAGGGUAGGGAACCUUCGGACAUGCUUUGUUGAGACCAGUGUAGUCUACACACAUCCGCCAUUUCCCCCCUUUCUUCCUCACAAGCACAGGGUUGGCAAGCCAUUCGGGAUGGAAUACCUCUUUGAUGAACCCUGCUGCCAUUAGCUUGUGGAUCUCCUCGCCUAUCACUCUGCGCUUCUCCUCGUCGAAUCGGCGUAGAGGCUGCCUGACGGGUCGGGCUCCGGCCCGAAUAUCCAACGAGUGCUCGGCGACAUCCCUCGGUAUGCCGGGCAUGUCCGAGGGACUCCACGCAAAGACGUCGGCGUUUGCGCGGAGAAAGUCGACGAGCACUGCUUCCUAUUUGGGGUCGAGCCCGGAACCGAUCCGGAUCUGCUUGGAGGUGUCGCCACUAGGGUCGAGAGGGACGGCCUUAACCGUCUCCGCUGGCUCGAAGUUGCCGGCAUGACGCUUCACGUCUGGCACCUCUUUGGAGAGGUUUUCCAGGUCGGCGAUGAGGGCCUCGGACUCGGCGAGGGCCUCGGCGUACUCCACACACUCCACGUCGCAUUCGAACGCGUGUUUGUACGUGGGGCCGACGGUGAUGACCCCGUUGGGGCCCGGCAUCUUGAGCUUCAGGUAGGUGUAGUUGGGGACGGCCAUGAACUUCGCGUAGCAGGGCCUCCCCAGUACCGCGUGGUAGGUUCCUCGGAACCCGACCACCUCGAAUGUCAAGGUCUCCCUUCGGAAGUUGGAGGGCGUUCCGAAGCAGACGGGAAGGUCGAGUCGUCCGAGGGGCUGGACGCGCUUCCCAGGGAUGAUCCCGUGGAAGGGCGCAGCGCCUGCUCGGACGGAGGACAGAUCGACGCGCAGGAGCCUGAGGGUCUCGGUGUAGAUGAUGUUGAGGCAGCUGCCCCCGUCCAUUAGGACCUUGGUGAGCCUGACGUCGCCGACGAUGGGGUCAACGACGAGCGGGUAUUUUCCCGGGCUCGGCACGUGGUCGGGGUGGUCAGCUUGGUCGAAGGUGAUGGGCUUGUCGGACCAGUCUAGGUAGACUGGCGCCGCCACCUUCACCGAGCAGACCUCCCGGCGCUCUUGCUUGCGAUGCCGAGCCGAGGCAUUCGCCGCAUGCCCACCAUAGAUCAUGAAGCAGUCGCGGACCUCGGGGUACUCUCCUGCUUGGUGAUCUUCCUUCUUGUCGUCGUCGCGGGCCCUGCCACCCUCCGCGGGUGGCCCGGCCCUGUGGAAGUGGCGCCGAAGCAUGACGCACUCCUCGAGAGUGUGCUUGACGGGCCCCUGAUGAUAGUGGCACGGCUCCUUGAGCAUCUUGUCGAAGAGGUUAGCACCUCCAGGGGGCUUCCGAGGGUUCUUGUACUCGGCGGCGGCGACAAGGUCCGCAUCGACGGCGUCGCGUUUCGAUUGCGACUUCUUCUUGCCUUUCUUCUUGGUGCCACGCGGAGUAGACGCCUCGGGAGCCUCUUCCGAUGGGCGGCCCUGGGGCUGCUUGUCCUUUCGGAAGAUAGCCUCGACCGCCUCCUAGCCAGAGGCGAACUUGGUGGCGAUGUCCAUCAGCUCGCUCACCCUGGUGGGGGUCUUGCGACCCAACUUACUCACUAGGUCACGGCAGGUGGUGCCGGCAAGGAACGCGCCGAUGACAUCCGAGUCGGUGAUGUUGGGCAGCUCGGUGCGCUGCUUCGAGAAUCGCCGGAUGUAGUCCCGAAGAGACUCUCCCGGCUGUUGCCGGCAGCUCCGGAGGUCCCAGGAAUUCCCGGGGCGCACGUACGUGCCCUGGAAAUUGCCGGCGAAGGCUUGGACCAAGUCAUCCCAGUUGGAGAUCUGCCCCGGAGGCAGGUGCUCCAACCAGGCGCGAGCAGUGUCGGAGAGGAACAGGGGGAGGUUGCGGAUGAUGAGGUUGUCGUCGUCCGUUCCACCCAGUUGGCAGGCCAGGCGGUAGUCUGCGAGCCACAGUUCCGGUCUCGUUUCCCCCGAGUACUUUGUGAUAGUAGCCGGGGGUCGGAACCGGGUCGGGAACGGCGCCCGUCGGAUGGCCCGACUGAAGGCCUGCGGACCGGGUGGUUCGGGCGAGGGACUCCGAUCCUCCCCACUGUCAUAGCGUCCCCCACGCCUGGGGUGGUAGCCUCGGCGCACCCUCUCGUCGAGGUGGGCCCGACGGUCGCGACGAUGGUGCUCGUUGCCGAGGUGGCCCGGGGCCGCAGGCGCGGGGUUGCGCGUGCGCCCGGUGUAGACCGAGGCUUCCCGCAUGAAUCGGGAAGUCGCGGCAUGAGGUUCCGAGGGAUAUCCCUGCCUUCGGGAGGCAGAGCUCUCGGCCCGUCGGACCGCAGCGCCUUCCAGGAGAUUCUUGAGCUCUCCUUGGAUUCGCCGACCCUCGGUGGUUGAUGGCUCCGGCAUCGCGCGGAGGAGCAUCGCUGCGGCUGCCAGGUUCUGACCGACCCCGCUGGAUGCGGGUGGCGGCCUGACCCUGACGUCGUUGGCGGCGCGGUGCUGGAAACCUUGGGGCAGGUGACGUAUUUCUCCGGCCGGGGGUUGGCCCGCCCAUACCUGCCCGACGUCCCGGCAGAUCGGCUCAAGCGCUCCUGCUCCCUCGUCGAGCCUGGCCUGCGCCCCACGGACUUGCUCGAGCUGUGGGUCGUGACCCCCGCUGGAACGGGGACCACAGCUAGCUCCCGCGGGAUGUCAGCGCGAGGCACCGGCCUAGGGAGAUCACCGUCCUCCGGCAUGCCGAGAUGGUUGCCUUCGGAGGGAUCCCCUAGCUCGACGUGGAAACAUUCGCGGCUUGGGCCGCAGUCCUCGUCGUCAAGGCGGCGGCUACCGUCGGAACAGUCGGAGAGGCAGUAGUCACAUGCGGUCAUAAAGUCCUGCAUGGCACUGGGGUUGCCAAAUCCGGAGAAAUCCCAACAGAUGCUGGGAUCGUCGCCUUCCUCGGACCCAGAGGGCCCGUAGGUCGAGACGUCCGUCAACCGGUCCCAAGGCGACCGCAUACGAAACCCCAGUGGGGUUGCACUCGCCUCAACGAGAGCGCCCGCCAAAGCAAGGUCGCUAGGCGGGUUGAGGCCGAGUCGAAAUGAUGUAAGAUGGGAAUUAGUCGGUACCUUUUGGUCGACGAGGGGCGACAUAGUCACGUCGGGGACUGGUUGCACCGUCGUCUCAGGUACGAGGGCGACGUCCUGCAAGCUCUCCGCGAGUGCGCUGGUGUCGUCCACUUGCUCAGGAUUGGCGUGUCGCGGGGGGACGGCGCUCGCCUUCAUCUCGAACGCGAGGUUGACGCCCGGCGUGCCCUCCGUUGGGGCGCUGAGGACGUCGAUUCGCUCGACAGCCGACGAAGCGCGGCCUCCCGCUUGGCCUCGGUUGCCCCGCCUCCUCCUCCGUUGGCGGGGGAGAGGACGGGGCGAGCUCGAAUGUUGUUCUUCCACCACGCGGGGAAGAUGUCGUCGAUUCCGCCGCGCGGCGGGCGGGUUGUCGGCCGCCAUUGUCGUUGUCGCGUGGUGGUGGAAGGAGUAUCAUGUCGUAGCUGCCGUCGAAGGACAUGAACUCAAGAUUCCCGAAACGGAGCACCGUCCCGGGCCGGAGAGGUUGCUGGAGACUGCCCAUCUGGAGCUUGAUGGGAAGCUGUUCGUCAGCACGCGGCAGGCCCCUACCUGGCGCGCCAACUGUCGGCGUUUCGAGACCGGGGGGGUCCCUAAGCCGACGAGUGAGUGUGCCGCGUGCCCUAGCCCAGAUGGGUCGAGCGCGUGGGCGAGCGCGAAGGGGGGAAAGCGAGGUGGCCGGAGACGGGCGUGAGAGAGGUGGAAAUCCCGCGGCCUUCGUGUUCGUCCCGCGCCCAGGUCGGGUGCGCUUGCAGUAGGGGGUUACAAGCGUCCACGCGGGUGAGGGAAGCGAGCGGCCCCAAGAGAGCGCCUGUCCCGUCCUCGUCCCCGCGCGGCCAACCUUCUCUAAGAAGGCCCUGGUCCUUCCUUUUAUAGGCGUAAGGAGAGGAUCCAGGUGUACAAUGGGGAUGUAGCAGAGUGCUACGUGUCUAGCGGAGGGAGAGCUAGCGCCCUAAGUACAUGCCAAUGUGGCAGCCGGAGAGAUCUUGGCACCCUGCUGGUGUGAUGUCGUGGCUGUCGGAGGAGCAACGGAGCCUGGCGGAGGGACAACUGUUGGAGCGGUUGAGUCCUUGCUGACGUCCCCCUGCUUCCGUAAGGGAGCUGAGAGCCGCCGUCGUCACAGGGCUAGCGGGGCGCCAUCAUUGCCUAUCUGGCAGAGCUAGCCAGAUGGGACACCGGUCUUGUUCUCUGCGGCCCAAGUCGGCUCGGGGUAGGGUGAUGAUGGCGCUUCCUGUUGACGUGGCGGGCCUGUGCCCUAGGUCGGGCGACGUGGAGGCUCCUCUGAAGCCGAGGUCGAGUCUGUCUUCCAUGGCUAAGGCCGAGCCUGAGCUCCUGGGUCGGGCGAGGCGGAGGUUGUUCGGCAGAGGUCAGGGCGGAGUCCGAGCCCUGGUGUCGGGCGAAGCGGAGUUCGUCGUCUUCUGGGGCUGAGCCCGAGUCCGAGCCCUGGGUCGGGCGGAGCGGAGUUCGCCGUCUUCCAGGGCUUAGCCCGAGUCCGAGCCCUGGGUCGGGCGGAGCGGAGUUCGUCGUCUUCUGGGGCUGAGCCCGAGUCCGAGCCCUGGGUCGGGCGGAGCGGAGUUCGCCGUCUUCCGGGGCUUAGCCCGAGUCCGAGCCCUGGGUCGGGCGGAGCGGAGUUUCCUAUGGCGCCUUUGGCCAGGCCUGACUGCCUGUCAGUCUCACUCUGUCAAGUGGCGCUGCAGUCGGAGUGGCGCAGGCGGCGCUGUCCUUCUGUCAGACCGGUCAGUGGAGCGGCGAAGUGACGGCGGUCACUUCGGCUCUGUCGGGGGGCGCGCGUCAGGAUAAAGGUGUCAGGCCACCUUUGCGUUAAAUGCUCCUGCGACUCGGUCGGUCGGUGCGGCGAUUUAGUCAGGGUUGCUUCUCAGCGAAGGCAAGGCCUCGGGCAAGCCGGAGAUGUGUCCGCCGUUAAAGGGGGGCCUCGGGCGAGACGGAAAUCCCUCGGGGUCGGCUGCCCUUGUCCGAGGCUAGGCUUGGGCGAGGCGUGAUCGAGUCGCUCGUAUGGACUGAUCCCUGACUUAAUCGCACCCAUCAGGCCUCUGCAGCUUUAUGCUGAUGGGGGUUACCAGCUGAGAAUUAGGCGUCUUGAGGGUACCCCUAAUUAUGGUCCCCGACAGUAUUCACUGAGAAGGAUCUCAACCUUAGGCAACGCCGAUGGUUGGAACUCAUAAAUGAUUAUGAUUUGGAGAUUCACUAUCACCCGGGCAAGGCGAAUCUGGUUGCGGAUGCCUUGAUCCAGAAGGAGCACGUCCAUUCAGCCAUUGUUGCACAGUUACCUAAUGAACUUGUUGAAGAUUUUAGAAGACUCAACCUGGGAAUAGUUGCACACACUGAAGGAGUCACUAUUGAUGUGGAACCUACCUUGGAGCAAGAAAUUCACAAAGGUCAUAUUGGUGAUGCUAAAAUACAAGAGACCAAGGAUCUUAUUACUGAAGGUAGAGGUCCAAAAUUCAUGGAGGGUGAGCAUGGCACAGUAUGGUUCAAGGACCAGAUAUGUGUUCCGGAAAUUGACAGCCUUCGAGAGACUAUAUUGAAGGAAGCCCAUGAUUCUGAUUAUUCUAUUCAUCCUGGUAGCACUAAGAUGUAUCAGAAUUUGAAGCAGAAGUACUGGUGGUAUGGGUUGAAGAGAGAUGUGGCUGCACACGUGGCUAUGUGUGAUGUAUGUCAAAGAGUCAAAGCUGAACACCAAAGACCAGCUGGACUAUUGCACCCGCUAAAGAUACCUAAAUGGAAGUGGGAAGAGAUUGGUAUGGACUUCAUGGUCGGGUUGCCUCGCACCCCGAAAGGAUAUGAUUCCAUAUGGGUGAUUGUGGAUACACUGACCAAAGUGGCUCACUUCAUUCCGGUCAAGACUACUUACAAGGGAUCUCAGCUGGCAGAGUUAUAUAUGGUUCGGAUUGUGUGUUUACAUGGAGUACCAAGAAGACUGUUUAUGAUAGAGGAUCACAAUUUACCUCUAGAUUUUGGAAAAGCUUUCAUGAGAAUAUGGAUACAAAGUUGAGCUUCAGUUUGGCCUAUCACCCUCAGACUGAUGGCCAGACUGAAAGGACUAAUCAAGUGCUUGAAGAUAUGUUGAGAGCUUGUGCUCUUCAGCAUGGAGGCAGUUGGGACAAGAGUCUACCAUAUGCAGAAUUCUCAUAUAAUAAUAGUUACCAGGCCAAUCUGAAGAUGUCACCAUUUGAAGCUUUAUAUGGCAGGAAGUGCAGGACUCCUCUAUAUUUGGAUCAAACUGGAGAAAGACAAUUCUUUGGGCCUAAACUUAUUCAAGAGACAGAAGAACAAGUCCGUAUAAUCCAGGAGAAUUUGAGGGUAGCUCAGACUAGGCAAAAGAGCUAUGCUGAUAACAGAAGAAGACCACUGGAAUUUGAGGAAGGUGAUCAUGUGUACCUGAAGGUGUCACCACUUCGUGGAAUGAGGAGAUUCAAAGUCAAAGGCAAAUUAUCCCCUCGACUUAUUGGACCAUUCAGAAUCUUUAGGCGAGUUGGAGAGAUGGCAUACCAACUGGAGCUACCUGAUCAUUUAUCUGAUGUGCAUGAUGUAUUUCACGUGUCUCAACUUAAGAAGUGUCUCCGUGUCCCUGAGGAACAGUUACCAAUGGAAGAGCUCAGUGUUCAGGGUGAUUUGACUUACAUGGAGUAUCCUAUCAAGAUUCUUGAUACUUCGACUCGAGUUACAAGAAAUAAAGUUAUAAAGAUGUGCAAAGUACAAUGGAGUCACCAUGGAGAAGAUGAAGCUACUUGGGAGAGAGAAGAAGAGCUUCGGAUAGAAUUUCCCCACCUUUUCCCUAGUCCUUCCUAAAUCUCGAGGAUGAGAUUCUUGUUAAGGGGGUAGGAUUUGUAAUACCCAAAUUUGUAAAAGCAUAAGAAAUGAGACUAUUUUCCCUAUAUGUGUUGCCUUUAUUCAUUAGUCCAUGUGAACACCCAUUUAGAAGUGAAUCACUAAAUAAAUGACACAUAAAUAACCUAAUGCAUCAUGUUGGAGUUUAUUUAGUUGUGCAUUUAAAAAUAAUGAUAAUAGGAAUAUACAAAUGGUGAAAUAGGUAUUAAAACUUAAAUUUGGAAAUUAAAAUGUAGAGAAAGGAAGAAAAGAAAUACUAUAAAAUACAAAACAAAAUUUAUAAAAAUGUAAACUCCAGCCAUACUAGUAAGAUUAAAAUCUACCUUUAAUUGAGUACAAAAUUCACAUGUAAAUUUGGAGUUUAAAUUGAAAAUUUAAAAUAAAAGGAGAAAGGAAAAACCCGAAAAAGAUAAAAGAGAAAUCCACUCGUGGGCCGCUGACCCCAAAUCUGGCUCACCUAGCAAAUUACUACCGCGAGGCCCGACUCCUCAUCUUAAGCGCACCGACAGUUGGGCCCCCCGGGCAGCCGCUCCACGCGCGCGACCAGCAUCGGGAUCUAUCAGGUGGGACCCUCUCACUAGCCGCACUAAUCCGGUGGCCGGCUCUGGAUUGCUCAAUACCCUAUGGGACCAAGCCAUCAGAUCCAUCGCGCCCACGUCAAUAGAACUCGCGCCGCGUCCUCCAUAAUCUCCGGUGAACUCGCCCCACGCCCAGGUUUCUCGACUGUUCGUGUCGUUAGCCUAUAAGUCCUGACCCCAUGAACCCCUGCGUCCAUUGCUCCCGUUUAAUCUAGCAACCGCGGCGAGAAAUAGGAGGCUUAGGCUUGGACUGCGGCCAAAAAUCGUCCGCCAGCGCCAUUGUCAUCUUCGCCUAAAGACUGGGCACACGAGUCGUGUCUGGGAGCUUUGCGGGGUGUCUGGUGAAGAUUUCGUGACCGUCCGGGGAGGAGGUGACCGCGGUGGUGUCCGGAAUUCGUCGCCGGACUUUAGUUUCCGUCGUGCGCCGUGGGAACCUGGGUCACCUCUUCAAAUCUCGGUGAGUAGCAUCCUCCGCAAUACCAUACUAUUACCGCUUUGUGCUGCUUCUUUCGGAUUAGAGUUUAGGGUGGGCAAUUGGGUCAGUGCGAUCGUCGGCCAUGGCGCCGCCGUCGGUACGGAGUCGCCGCCAUGUCAGCACGUCGAGGAAUGGUUGAGGGUUAUCGUGACCGUUAUAUCUGCGUUUGAAGGCUAGGAUUAGAUCUUACCCCUUCGUUUGAGUGACUCGCCUAGCUGUAGAUCAUUGAGCCUUUGGCAUAUCACAUCCUACUGCAUUAAAUCACGACCGUCGAUCGUUAAUCGUGUGGGCGCGCUCGCGCACCAGUUUAUCGCGGUGGGAUCUAAUCCGGACCCUAGAAUCUGAAUCUGACGGCCCUGAACGACUAAUACCCCUUCGGUCGCGUUUUAUUGCGAAUGAGCCCCUCGGUUCCUAGGGAAUCAACCUGCCGUCCACCCUAGGGUUGCUCUGAUUCUGGGAAAUUCUUAUGAUUUUGCCCCCGUGUUUCCUUAGAUUUAGUGCUCGGCCCAGAGAACAGAGAAACUGGAUAAAUGAAUAUAGAAAUAGAUUUUUAAUACAAAAAUAAUUUUUGAAACUUGUUUAAUUCAUAUUAAGUCCUAAUUGAUCCAUUCCAGUUUCUACAAUUUUGUAAUAUUAUUGUUUAUCAACUAGUGCCACUGUUUUAACAUAAAAGCCACAUUAAAAUUGAUAUCCUAAUUAAUCUUGUACCAAACACAUAAAACCUUUGGAAAUUCAUAACUUAAAAUCCAUAAAUCCAAAAUUAAUGAUUCAUGUUCAUAUAAUCUUAUUUUAAUAUGUAGAUUAUUAAUAUGUAUUUUGUAUACAUGUUUGUUGUGAUGUUAAUUUAUUCAUUGUACUAUGCUUGUUUGUAUUGUGACGAGUAGAAGAGCCAGUGGCUGAGGAUCCUUGUGUUCAGCAGGUAGAAGUUCCUGAGCCGGAGCUCAUUGAAGGCAAGUUGUGUCCUUGACCACUUUUAUUACCCAAUAAUGUUCUUUAUUAUCACUUAUCCAUGCAUAUGUUUAAUUUUGAUGGGACCCAAUAGGUCACACUAGACUAGUUAUCCUUUUACCUUGUUCAUCCCUGAAUCAUUUGGGUAGUUUUGCUAUUGCUUUAUAUGGUUUUGGGUUAAUAUUACAUUAUAUCCUUGUUCCAAUUAUUCUGUUAUUUUAUUUAUGUUCAUGUCAAGAUCAUUAUUUUUAAUUGGAACAUGGAGCUUAACUUGAGAAACACGUGCCACCACAAGGCUGGAAUGGGCACCCUUGGCUGACUAACUAGUUAAGCUAGUGGAGAACUGUCACACCCGGGUUUUAGGGGUCCAAAACCCGGGCGCGAACAUAAUCACUAGGUGUGCUGGGACCAAGUCUCACACAUAUUAUGAAUCAUGGCACAGGAUCGAAUGUCACAACUUUACUAUAUAAUAGGAGUUCUAUACAAAAUAAACAAAUAAUUACAUUAUAAGGAGACAACGGUCCAGCAACCCAAAGUUGACUGGGAGACGACGGCCUAGACCUCUCACGAACACAUCACCGUAUCCUUCAUACGCCUCAUCCUGCGGUACCUGUUCUUGACCUGUGGGGGGUGUGAGACAGCAAGAGUGAGCUCACAUAUGUUCAUCGCUCAACAAGUUGUGGGGAAUAAUGUGCAUGAACUCGCCAAAGGUGGGAGCUCACGUGAAGUGUAAGGCUUACCAAAGAGGAUGGUUAGAGCUGAGCAUUGCUUUUAAAGUUGGUCAAAAUUUUAUUAGCAAUUACUAAGUAUAAGUAAAUACCAACCCAAUUAAGAAAAGCAAUAACAUCACUUGCGAUGCAAUGCAUAUGACAAAUUGAAUUUAGUUCCAUAAAUUAAUCAUGUGAGGGUCCGAGCUGCUCAUGACCGUGAGCACGGCUAGUAUACCAGUUUUACACUCUGCAGAGGUUGCGCAUCUUUACCCACAAGUCAUGUUACCCAUCUGCCAAGGGAUCACGACUUCCCAUACACCUCUACCGAGGAGGCGAGGCAGGGUAACACUAUGAGGCAUUUACAAAGUUCCACUAGCUUAAGAAAACCCGCUACAGUUUAUAGGAAGCUACAAUGCAGGGAUCCCUAGCAUGAUCGCCAUCGCAGCAAAAUCAUCCCAAGGACCUCCCUACACUGACCACUCCCCUACUGCCCUUGCCCCUUUCGGGUAAGGUAGUCUUCCACUAGCUUUCCUAAUUAAUCAGCCAAGGGCGUCCAUAAACCCUUGUGGUAGCACUGUUUUUACGGGUGGUCGCUCCAUGUUCCAAUUAACAUAAUGAUCUUAUCAUGAACAGUAAUAAUAAACAGAUAAUAAAAGUGUGAUCAUGAAUAAUGUAUCUUCAUACCCAAAACCACAUAAAGCACUAGCAAGUACUACCCAAAAAGUUCAGUGGUAAACAAGGUAUAAAGAUAGACAAACUAGGGUAACCUAUUGGGUCCCAUCAAAAUUAACCUAUGCAGAUCAUUAUGAUUAAUCAGAACAUGGCUGGGUAAAAAGAAGUGAUCAAGGGCACAACUUGCCUGGCACUUGAGAUUCCAGGUACCAACUUGCUCUUCAGAUGACACGUGUCCCCACUUCUAAACGUAGCAAUACAGACAAACAUGUACAGGCAAAAUUAACAUCACACCAAACAUAAGAUUAAACUGCGUAUUAAUAUUCUACACGUUGCUACGAGAUCGUAGAAACAAGAACCACUAAAUUCGGAGCUACGGUUAUUAAGUUAGGAAUUUAUGAAGUUAUUUAAUACCUAGAAUAGAGUUAUUCAUCUGAAUAAUUUUAAAUCAAGUUUCAUGGUUAGACAAAGGUACUAGGUAAUAAACAAUACUUAAACAAAAUUAAUGCCACUGGAAUGAAUCAAUUUGGAGCUAAAUUCAUCAAGUUAUGAAUUUCCUAAGUUUGGGACAUUAUUUUGCAUUAAAAAGAAUUUCUGUAUUAAAUUUAAUAGAUUUCUGAGUUACUUGGACUGCGGCCACUAUUUAACAGAAACCCAGGGGGUUCUGCGCAAACGACACCAAGACUCAGAACUCCCACAGUGGACGGCGGGUUGAAUAAUAGAAACCCGAAGGUUUAUUUAACAAUUUUACCAGGACGAAAGGGUAACUUCUGUUGUGAGCCAACUUAUCAAAUUUUAGUGGCUCAGAUUAGAUCGGCGUGAUUGCGAACCGGUACACGCCAUCAGCCGCGAGAUCGAGAUCCAAUGGUUCGGAUUUUAUGAGACUCAAACUAACCACAUCCGACCGAUACAAGAUCUACGGCACCCGCUCUACCCCUCUCAACACCCAUGCCUAACUGAAUCUGGACCGCCCGCGCAGAUCGAACGGUGCCCACGCAUCGUCUUCCACACCCGGCAGAGGACGGUGGCGCAGGCCCCCACGGCGGUGCCCAUGGCCGGCGUGCAGUGCCCUCGCGGCGCUGGUGCUCUCAACUUAACCCCGACAGGUGCUAAACGAUGCAGUGGAACAUGCGAGUUGAUUCGGAGAUUCCUUACCAUGAUUCGUGAAAUGCAGAGCCUUCGCCCCGGUGCACGGCGUGGUGUAGGUGAUGGCAAACUAUGAGGGACGUGAUCUACCGAAAAUGAAAACGAAAACAAGGCGAGGAGAGAUGGCAGUGCACUGUGGAUUCCACGGUGGCGGCCACCGGCGAGGUCUAACCCCGACGCUCCAAGCUUGGCUUCUAUCUUGAGUGGGCGCAAAACAAAGCCAAGGAUACAACGAACCAACUCAAGGUGACUCACCAGCGGUCGAUGCAAUUUAGCAGACUUCUCGUCGCCGUGCGGCUUGGCGGCAACAAUGAACUCCGGCAAGCCAUUCCCCCUGCUUGCUGUGGACUUUCCCGUGAUCAGGGUGAGACCACAUGCAGACUUAGUGCGACACAACUAUGUUUUGAACCAUCUGCGGCCGCUACGGUAAUGAUCUUUCCCAGCUCUCCUGCACGCUAGGCGACUGGGCACUCGACUUCCCGCACAACUAGCUUGGACAUGAUUGGAGCGAGGCAGCCGAUGUUUAUACUCAGCAGGGAGACGAGUCCGCGCCCUAUGGAGCUAUCUCGAGAUUGCGGCAGAGAUUGCGGAGAUUCAGUUGUAACGGACUUGAUUGGAGCUCGGACUCUGAAGAAGAAAUCAGCCAGAGUGCCCCAUAUGCUAGCGAUCAGGAGAAUACGAAUAAUCUGAUGCCAUCCCUUACCUCACAUGGCGGCAAGCAAAUAAACAAAACAAAAAGGGAUGUGGGCAUGGGCAUGGGCAUGGGUCGUGCGGUGAGGAUGUGAAGCCUAGGUGCGGUUCUUUUCCCUCUUUUUCCCUUUCUAUUUCAUUCUCUUUUCUUAAUUCCUUCUCUAUUUUUAAAUUAUAUAUAUAUUGACUUAAACUUAUCUCGUACAUUCGAAUACAAAUGCAACAUACAAGAAGUCUUUAGCAUGAGAUGCCUAUUUCUGUUUUUAUUUAUUUAUUUGACCAAUAUAAUUCCUUUGAUUGAAUAUGCACAAAAUCAAGUAAUCUCCAAUGGUUCCAUAAUCCUAAAACCUUACAUAAUAAUAUUUCUUAUUUAUUUAUUUUGUUAUUAUUAUUUUUUAUACAAAUUUUGGGCUUUACAAAUUCUACCCCCUUAACAGAAAUCUCGGCCCCGAGAUUUGUAAGAAAAUGAUAUAGGAAGAGUGGUUUGCAAUUUAGCUUUCAGUUUCUAAUUAUUUCAAAAAUCAAGAGCCUCUUUUUUUGAGUGAUUAGGAAAGCAUGGGUAUCCAUAUGUAUAGUCAUUUUAUUAUGUAGUACGAAAGAUGGGUUGGUUAGGGCAAGAAUAUUCUAGUGUAAGAAAGUUUAUGGUGAGAAAGAACUCCUUGUUGGGUGGUAAUGCAUCUGAAGAUCGAGUUUGACUUCUCUCCUUCCUUGACGAGUUUGAUCUUGUCCUUUUCCAGUCUUGCUCUUUGGUGUCUCCAUCCGGGUUUGGGACAAGAGGCUAAGAUAGAUCUGUUAUGUAGGUCAAGUUGUUGGGUAUGGCCGAGUUGAUCUAGGUCAUCAAUUUAAGCUUAAGUGGGUUUGGAGUAUGGCUUAAUCCGUUGUACCAGCAUUGAGUAACUUACUCUAGAUUAGAUCAUAAUAGAUUAGAUAGAAUCUAGAUUAGGUUGGUAUAACUAGAUUAGACUAGAUAAUAUCUAAUUACUUUGGAUUAGAUCAUGGUUGUUAUUCUAGAGUGGGAUAAAUAUGCUAAUUAGGGCAUGAUGAAUCCAUAAAGAUAAGGUAGAAUCUUUUGAGAUAAGAUGGAUCUAUGGGUGUAGAAUAUGAAUAUUUUAAGAUGAGAUGACUAUUGUUAGGCUAGAUACUUUAAUGAGGGAUAAUCUAGUUUAUCUAGUUAUUGUAUAAACACUAUCCUUUAUGCCUAGAUAUCUAUGCAGAUGUAAUUGUGGAUAUUACUCCACAACUCAUCACACUCAAUCAAAGAUCCAAAUCAGAAAAAUAUCAUAAGAACAAACACUCAAGCGCAUAGAUACCUAUAAAAAUAGUUUUAUUUUUUUGUUCCUAAGAGUAGGUCUCCUAUUCCUAAAAGUCACUUUAGGCAGAAGAUUUCAAAGUGUGAAAUCCUCAUUUGUCUUUUAGAAAGAAAAGAUAAGAAUAAUCAGAGUAAAGCAGAAAUAGAUGAGAAUAGAUUAAGAAAAGUUUAGAAAGAACCAGAGUAGCACAGGUAAGUAAAUAUUGGUUGUCCAGUUUUAUCUAGGUUGCGUCCUACAGUCAACAUUGCUCUGAUACCACUUCUGUCACACCCGGGUUUUAGGGCUCCAAAACUCGGGCGCGAACAUAAUCACCAGGUGUGCUAGGACCAAGUCUCACACAUAUGAUGAAUCAUGGCACAGGAUCGAAUGUCACAACUUUACUAUAUAAUAGGAGUUCUAUACAAAAUAAAUAAAUAAUUACAUUAUAAGGAGACAACGGUCCAGCAACCCAAAGUUGACUGGGAGACGACGACCUAGACCUCUCACGAACACAUCGUCGUAUCCUUCAUACGCCUCAUCCUGCGGUACCUGUUCUUGACCUAUGGGGGGUGUGAGACAGCAAGAGUGAGCUCACAUACGUUCAUCGCUCAACAAGUUGUGGGGAAUAAUGUGCAUGAACUCGCCAAAGGUGGGAGCUCACGUGAAGUGUAAGGCUUACCAAAGAGGAUGGUUAGAGCUGAGCAUUGCUUUUAAAGUUGGUCAAAAUUUUAUUAGCAAUUACUAAGUAUAAGUAAAUACCAACCCAAUUAAGAAAAGUAAUAACAUCACCUGCGAUGCAAUGCAUAUGACAAAUUGAAUUUGGUUCCAUAAAUUAAUCAUGUGAGGGUCUGAGCUGCUCAUGACCGUGAGCACGGCUAGUAUACCAGUUUUACACUCUGCAGAGGUUGCGCAUCUUUACCCACAAGUCAUGUUACCCAUCUGCCAAGGGAUCGCGACUUCCCAUACACCUCUACCGAGGAGGCAAGGCAGGGUAACACUACGAGGCCUUUACAAAGUUCCACUAGCUUCAGAAAACCCGCUACAGUUUAUAGGAAGCUCCAAUGCAGGGAUCCCUCGCAUGAUCGCCAUCGCAGCAAAAUCAUCCCAAGGACCUCCCUACACUGACCACUCCCCUACUGCCCUUGCCCCUUUCGGGUAAGGUAGUCUUCCACUAGCUUUCCUAAUUAAUCAGCCAAGGGCGUCCAUAAACCCUUGUGGUAGCACUGUUUUCCCGGGUGGUCGCUCCAUGUUCCAAUUAACAUAAUGAUCUUAUCAUGAACAAUAAUAAUAAACAGAUAAUAAAAGUGUGAUCAUGAAUAAUGUAUCUUCAUAUCCAAAACCACAUAAAACACUAGCAAGUACUACCCAAAAAGUUCAGUGGUAAACAAGGUAUAAAGAUAGACAAACUAGGGUAACCUAUUGGGUCCCAUCAAAAUUAACCUAUGCAGAUCAUUAUGAUUAAUCAGAACAUGGCUGGGUAAAAAGAAGUGAUCAAGGGCACAACUUGCCUGGCACUUGAGAUUCCAGGUACCAACUUGCUCUUCAGAUGACACGUGUCCUCACUGCUAAACAUAGCAAUACAGACAAACAUGUACAGGCGAAAUUAACAUCACACCAAACAUAAGAUUAAACUGCGUAUUAAUAUUCUACGCGUUGCUACGAGAUCGUAGAAACAAGAACCACUAAAUUCGGAGCUACAGUUAUUAAGUUAGGAAUUUAUGAAGUUAUUUAAUACCUAGAAUAGAGUUAUUCAUGUGAAUAAUUUUAAAUCAAGUUUCAUGGUUAGACAAAGGUACUAGGUAAUAAACAAUACUUAAACAAAAUUAAUGCCACUAGAAUGAAUCAAUUUGGAGCUAAAUUCAUCAAGUUAUGAAUUUCCUAAGUUUGGGACAUUAUUUUGCAUUAAAAAGAAUUUCUGUAUUAAAUUUAAUAGAUUUCUGAGUUACUUGGACUGUGGCCACUAUUUAACAGAAACCCAGGGGGUUCUGCGCAAACGACACCAAGACUCAGAACUCCCACAGUGGACGGCGGGUUGAAUAAUAGAAACCCGAAGGUUUAUUUAACAAUUUUACCAGGACGAAAGGGUAACUUCUGUUGUGAGCCAACCGAUCAAAUUUUAGUGGCUGAGAUUAGAUCGGCGUGAUUGCGAACCGGUACACGCCAUCAGCCGCGAGAUCAAGAUCCAAUGGUUCGGAUUUUAUGAGACUCAAACUAACCACAUCCGACCGAUACAAGAUCUACGGCACCCGCUCUACCCCUCUCAACACCCAUGCCUAACUGAAUCUGGACCGCCCGUGCAGAUCGGACGGUGUCCACGCAUCGUCUUCCACACCCAGCAGAGGACGGCGGCGCAGGCCCCCACGGCGGUGCCCAUGGCCGGCGUGCAGUGCCCUCGCGGCGCUGGUGCUCUCAACUUAACCCCGACAGGUGCUAAACGAUGCAGUGGAACAGGCGAGUUGAUUAGGAGAUUCCUUACCAUGAUUCGUGAAAUGCAGAGCCUUCGCCCCGGUGCACGGCGUGGUGUAGGUGAUGGCAAACUAUGAGGGACGCGAUCUACCGAAAAUGAAAACGAAAACAAGGCGAGGAGAGAUGGCAGUGCACUGUGGAUUCCACGGUGGCGGCCACCGGCGAGGUCUGACCCCGACGCUCCAAGCUUGGCUUCUAUCUUGAGUGGGCGCAAAACAAAGCCCAGGAUACAACGAACCAACUCAAGGUGACUCACCAGCGGUCGAUGCAAUUUAGCAGACUUCUCGUCGCCGUGCGGCUUGGUGGCAACAAUGAAUUCCGGUAAGCCAUUCCCCUGCUUGUUGUGGACUUUCCCGUGAUCAGGGUGAGACCACAUGCAGACUUAGUGCGACACAACUAUGUUUUGAACCAUCUGCAGCCGCUACGGUAAUGAUCUUUCCCAGCUCUCCUGCACGCUAGGCGACUGGGCACUCGACUUCCCGCACAACUGGCUUGGACAUGAUUGGAGCGAGGCAGCCGAUGUUUAUACUCAGCAGGGAGACGAGUCCGCGCCCUGUGGAGCUAUCUCGAGAUUGCGGCAGAGAUUGCGGAGAUUCAGUUGUAACGGACUUGAUUGGAGCUCGGACU